rnacentral:rRNA from 1 species
AAUUGGAGGGCAAGUCUGGUGCCAGCAGCCGCGGUAAUUCCAGCUCCAAUAGCGUAUAUUAAAGUUGUUGCAGUUAAAAAGCUCGUAGUUGAAUUUCGGGAUUGACGUGAUGGUCGUGCCUUAAGGGGUAUGAACUGUUGCUGUUGAUUUCUCACCUUCUGGAGAAACUUGAUGUCCUUAAUUGGGUGUCUUGCGGAUCCAGGACCUUUACCUUGAAAAAAUUAGAGUGUUUAAAGCAGGCAUUUUGCUCGAAUACAUUAGCAUGGAAUAAUAGAAUAGGACGGCAUGGUUCUAUUUUGUUGGUUUCUAGGAUCACCGUAAUGAUUAAUAGGGGUAGUUGGGGGCAUUAGUAUUCAAUUGUCAGAGGUGAAAUUCUUGGAUUUAUUGAAGACUAACUACUGCGAAAGCAUUUGCCAAGGAUGUUUUCAUUAAUCAAGAACGAAAGUUAGGGGAUCGAAGACGAUCAGAUACCGUCGUAGUCUUAACCAUAAACUAUGCCGACUAGGAAUCAGACGAUGUUAAUUUUUUAAUGACUCGUUUGGCACCUUACGGGAAACCAAAGUGU